rnacentral:rRNA from 1 species
UACAGAGGAGCCAAGCGUUGUCCGGAUUGACUGGGCGUAAAGCGCACGCAGGCGGUGGUGCGCGGGGGGUGUGAAAUCUGGCCGCUUAACGGCCAGGCGCCAUCCCAUACGGCACGACUGGAGGGCUGCAGAGGUCGAUGGAAUUGCCGGUGUAGUGGUGAAAUGCGUAGAGAUCGGCAGGAACACCCAGGGGGAAACCAGUCGACUGGGCAGCACCUGACGCUGAGGUGCGAGAGCGUGGGGAGCGAACCGG